rnacentral:rRNA from 1 species
GAUGAACGCUAGCGGAAGGCCUAAUACAUGCAAGUCGAGCGGUAGAAUAACUUCGGUUGUUUGAGAGCGGCGCACGGGUGAGUAACGCGUACAUGACCUACCUUUAAGAAAUGGAUAGCCCUGGGAAACUGGGAUUAAUACAAUAUGUGAUAUGUGUUAUAAACGAUGCAUAUUAAAGCUUCGGCGCUUAGAGAUGGAUGUGCGUCUGAUUAGCUAGUUGGUAGGGUAAAGGCCUACCAAGGCGACGAUCAGUAGGGGGCGUGAGAGCGUGAUCCCCCACACGGGUACUGAGACACGGACCCGACUCCUACGGGAGGCAGCAGUAAGGAAUAUUGGACAAUGGAGGGAACUCUGAUCCAGCCAUUCCGCGUGGAGGAAGAAUGCCCUAUGGGUUGUAAACUUCUUUUGGAUGGGAAUAAAAUGCCCCUUGCGAGGGGAACUGAAGGUACCAUCAGAAUAAGCACCGGCUAACUCCGUG